CCCGUGUCUAUUGUACCUUGUUGCUUCGGCGGGCCCGCCGUUUUCGAACGGCCGCCGGGGAGGCCUCGCGCCCCCGGGCCCGCGCCCGCCGAAGACCCCAACAUGAACGCUGUUCUGAAAGUAUGCAGUCUGAGUUUGAUUAUCAUAAUCAGUUAAAACUUUCAACAACGGAUCUCUUGGUUCCGGCAUCNAUGAAAAACGCANCGAAAUGCNAUAAGUAAUGUGAAUUGCAGAAUUCANUGAAUCAUCGAGUCUUUGAACGCACAUUGCGCCCCCUGGUAUUCCGGGGGGCAUGCCUGUCCGAGCGUCAUUGCUGCCCUCAAGCACGGCUUGUGUGUUGGGCCCCCGUCCCCGGUUCU
rnacentral:rRNA from 1 species